rnacentral:rRNA from 1 species
UACGUAGGUGGCGAGCGUUGUCCGGAUUUACUGGGCGUAAAGGGAGCGUAGGCGGACUUUUAAGUGAGAUGUGAAAUACUCGGGCUCAACUUGAGUGCUGAAUUUCAAACUGGAAGUCUAGAGUGCAGGAGAGGAGAAUGGAAUUCCUAGUGUAGCGGUGAAAUGCGUAGAGAUUAGGAAGAACACCAGUGGCGAAGGCGAUUCUCUGGACUGUAACUGACGCUGAGGCUCGAAAGCGUGGGGAGCAAACAGG